rnacentral:tRNA from 1 species
AGCUUUUUAGUAUAAUUAAGUAUAGUUAAUUUCCAAUUAAUAGGUUUUAAAAGCUU